GCUGAUGUGGCUCAGUGGUAGAGCACCACCUUGGUAAGGUGGUGGUCGCGGGUUCGAUCCCCGCCAUCAGCUCCA
rnacentral:tRNA from 1 species